CAGAACGUGAGAAGUUGUAACAUCUGAUGAGUCAACAACCAUCGUUAACAAGCUAGCUUCGAAAAUUACCAAUGAUUCAUAGUCAGAGUAAACGUGAAAGUCAUGCAACCUACCGUCAACUAUUUUGUUCAAACUCAUUGUAUUCUACUGUGUCAUCGAAAUGAUACAGGAUUAAUCUUAAUUAUCGGCUGUUUCUAUUGGACUUGCUAGAUCACCGACCCCCAGCAUGGAACAAUCUCUCAUUUUAUCUUAUAGAGAGUCUUGGAUAACUGAUUGGUGAUUUCAUGUGUAUAAAAGUUCACUUGUCAUGUUACUGAACUUUAUUAAUUGCAGUCUAAUAUGAAUUUUUGUUUUCUUUACAGGUUUCUUAAUUGGCAUGACUGACUUUAUGAGAAGUUAUGUCCUUCCAAGAAAAAGGACUUACAGUCAACAAGAUUCUUUGUUUGCUAACACGUUGGCUGCUACCCUUGAAUCUCCCUAUAUUUGUCAACGACAAAAAAAGAGGUUAAAUAUUGUGAUCAUGCCUAUCAUCAUUAUGUUGCCUAGAAGACCAAAUGUGGGGCAUCUGGUUAUCCCUCCAAAAUAAGGUAAUGACCACACGUUCAACGCGGAUCAUUCGCUUUGUCAUCGAACUUGACUCAUUCCAUCUUCUGGAUUGCUUAGGAAAGCUGAUUGGUGUUACCUGUCCAUUUAGGUAAUGACCGAGAAGAUGCGGCCUACAUGAACAUCAUAGGCGGCCAGCAUCAUUCGACUACCUAACUGGCUUCUACUACCCUGCUCUCAACACAGCACAGAGUUUUACCCUAAGAUUUUUGGCUGUUCGCGAUGUGUGAUGGCGUUUCCUUGGACGAGAUGAUGAUUUUGGCGAGAAAAAUAUUGCGUUCUAACCUUCAGGUUCCUAAAUAUGAAAAGUAAUGUUCUUUCAAGAAAGUCAACGAGGUCCCUUACUCCCUUGUUUGCUAACCCAAUGGCUGCUACCCUUGAAUCUCCCUAUUUAGCUCCUUACACAGUCCCUCUUGAUUUGAGGGUAAUCCUUCGCUACUGAU